rnacentral:rRNA from 1 species
CGUGUAGGUGGCCACGCAAGUCAGGUGUGAAAGCCCAGGGCUCAACCCUGGAAGUGCACAUGAUACUACGUGGCUGGAGUACUGAAGAGGAGAGCGGAAUUCCCGGUGUAGAGGUGAAAUUCGUAGAUAUCGGGAGGAACACCAGUGGCGAAGGCGGCUCUCUGGGCAGAUACUGACACUGAGACGCGAAGGCGUGGUAGCAAACA